rnacentral:rRNA from 1 species
AUUGAACGCUGGCGGCAGGCCUAACACAUGCAAGUCGAGCGGAUGAAGGGAGCUUGCUCCUGGAUUCAGCGGCGGACGGGUGAGUAAUGCCUAGGAAUCUGCCUGGUAGUGGGGGAUAACGUCCGGAAACGGGCGCUAAUACCGCAUACGUCCUGAGGGAGAAAGUGGGGGAUCUUCGGACCUCACGCUAUCAGAUGAGCCUAGGUCGGAUUAGCUAGUUGGUGGGGUAAAGGCCUACCAAGGCGACGAUCCGUAACUGGUCUGAGAGGAUGAUCAGUCACACUGGAACUGAGACACGGUCCAGACUCCUACGGGAGGCAGCAGUGGGGAAUAUUGGACAAUGGGCGAAAGCCUGAUCCAGCCAUGCCGCGUGUGUGAAGAAGGUCUUCGGAUUGUAAAGCACUUCAAGUUGGGAGGAAGGGCAGUAAGUUAAUACCUUGCUGUUUUGACGUUACCAACAGAAUAAGCACCGGCUAACUUCGUG